rnacentral:rRNA from 1 species
AGAGUUUGAUCCUGGCUCAGAUUGAACGCUGGCGGCAUGCCUUACACAUGCAAGUCGAACGGUAACAGGUCUUCGGAUGCUGACGAGUGGCGAACGGGUGAGUAAUACAUCGGAACGUGCCCGAUCGUGGGGGAUAACGAAGCGAAAGCUUUGCUAAUACCGCAUAAGAUCUACGGAUGAAAGCAGGGGACCGCAAGGCCUUGCGCGAACGGAGCGGCCGAUGGCAGAUUAGGUAGUUGGUGGGAUAAAAGCUUACCAAGCCGACGAUCUGUAGCUGGUCUGAGAGGACGACCAGCCACACUGGGACUGAGACACGGCCCAGACUCCUACGGGAGGCAGCAGUGGGGAAUUUUGGACAAUGGGCGAAAGCCUGAUCCAGCCAUGCCGCGUGCAGGAUGAAGGCCUUCGGGUUGUAAACUGCUUUUGUACGGAACGAAAAGACU